rnacentral:snRNA from 1 species
GUGUUCACUUUGGCAGCACAUAUACAGAGAAGAUUAACAUGGACUCUGCACAAGGUUUACAUGCAAAUUCGUGAAGCAUUCCAUAUUUUA